rnacentral:tRNA from 1 species
GCUUGGUUGGCUCAGUCGGUUAAGCAUCUGCCUUCAGCUCAGGUCAUGAUCCCAGAGUCCUGGGAUCGAGUCCCACAUCAGGCU